GAUAUCUUGGACGUGAUCAGAAACAUCCCGGACCCUGGCACCAGGGAGGCAAACUACCAUCCGGGUCUCCUGACUGCGUCCACAGAAUCGCCUACCAGACCCCCUAACUAUCGAUUCCCCUAUUACUACUACCUUCCUCUUCCUUUCCCUACCCUUCUGAGCUACAGGGCCGGACUCUGUGUCGGAGGCACGGCCACUGUUGGUUCCCCCAGGUAGGCUGUCCCCCCCAACAGUACUCAAACAGGAGUACUUAUUGUCAAGGGGUACAGCCCCUGGGGUACUCUCUGGUACCUGACUCUUCCCCUUCCCUCUCCUAACCGUGACCCACCUGUCUGCCUCCAGUGGUCCUGGUGUGACCACCUGCCUGUAACUCCACUUUAUCAACUCCUCACUCUCCCUGACCAGACGAGGGUCAUUGAGCUGCAGCUUCAGUUCCCUAACAUGGUCCCUUAGGAGCUGCAGCUCUGCGCACCUGGCACAGAUGUGGACAUCUAGGAGGCUAGGAGACUCCAGGACCUCCCACAUCUGACACCGAGAACAACAAGCUGCCCUCACAAUCAUAAUUCCCCCUUUCCUCAAAUAACAGGAAAAACUGAAACCUGAACCUACCUUGCCUCACCGGCUUCCGCCUAAGCCCGUUCAGCCAAAGCCCUUAAGCCCUCACUCCGCUCCUGGCUCGCUCCGCUGCCUGCUGUUUAAGGCUGUGUCCUUUUAAAAGCUUCCCCGCUUCACUGCCCGACGUCACACGCCUGCGCGGUCCCGCCUCUCUCAACUCCGAUGAGAAUAAGAAAAAAAUCAAAAUGGCUCCCACCGCACUCCCGUUCUGAUCCUCCAACUUCCUUCUCCAACAUUUUGCAACAUGAUUUUUUCAAAGAUUCAGUUUGCUUUUGGAUCCAAGAAUCUUGUCACUUGAAGUCAAAACAUUUUCUCCAGGGCCUUGCAGAGAUUUGUUCAACUGGUUCAUAUGAUGAAAAAUGUCUGCUAAUUCGGCUAGUUUCUGCAUCUUCAAAGCUACGAUUUGUAGUUGUGUCUUUUCAAUUUUGCUGGGGCCAUUGCUGCAUUUGAAAGUUGCUUGCUACAGACUAGGCACAAUGGAAUAGGACAAUGUGGAUCACCAGGCCACGUAAAAACCAAUGAUAAGUUGCUUUCAUUGUAAAGACAGACUUUUUUGUAUCUGUUGCUGUACUAGUGCAGUGAAAUGACUCAGAAGAUUGGAAUUCAACAAUCACCACAUUGACACAUCAGACGUCUGGAAAAUACAGGGAUUAAUAAAAUAAAAAUUCAAUGCUUGGAAAAUAGUAGUUAUCAGCCUAUCAUCUUACCCUCCAUGCAAUACAGAGCUCAUUAAUUAUCAACAGCUUCCCCUAUUUCGCAUCAAAAACUAAGAAUGGACUCAACCAAAUAAACAUGGUCCUACUGCGUGUUACCAUACUGGGCUGAGAGACCUCCAACGAGAUUGCUAACGGGUCUGCUCGGUCACGGCCCAUUACUGUAAGUGCUGGCAUCAUGAGUCAUGCAUUCAUAAAAACCAUGUUUUUUUUAAAAUCACAAUCUCUCAUGGAACCCUGAGCAAUCUCUCGCAGAACCUUAGGGUUCCAUGGAACUUCAGUUGCGAAACUCUGCUCUAGAUUGAUUCCAGAGUUAUUGACUAUGUCAGCCAAUACAGUCACUUUUAAACUGCUGGAGUUUUGGGAGCAAAAUGCCAUUGCUUGGUUUGUACAAGCUGAGCCCCAGUUUGCUCCGCGAGAAAUCUCCGCUGACAAUACCUGAUUGGUAGCGUUGCUCAGCAGUUUCACAGCUGCGAGAGUAAUGAGUCUACGUGAACACCCACCCGAACACGAUAAAUAUCAAUUGCUGAAUUUUACUUUUUACAGAGUUUUGGACUAUCAGGGUCUGAGCGCACCAAACAGUUUCUCUCCUUACCCAGUCUCAGUGAUGCCUUCAGAGCCAAUGGACCACAUGCUGUCUCUCCUCGGAAAUCACCAUCCUUGUUUUAUUUUGUUAAGUCUCUUCAUUGCAGCAAAUGCCUGAUCAAGUUUGCAUAGCCCUCACUAAUGCACCUGUGAAUAACUAUAAGGAGCUAGUUAAAUAGUUGAUAGUCUACACUCAGCAGGAAGUAGUGCAUAAUUCCUCCUCCUUUCUCCACCUCAAUAAGCUGGUCAGCAAGGCCCCCAACACAAGGAUGCCUGUGGCUGCAAAACAGACCAUGCCGGGUCUGUGAUCUUACCUUGGUUGCUUUGGCACAAAUGCUAGGAACCACCAUCUUGCAGCUUUGAUAGUGCCAGCACAUUGGGAUGUCAGGAGUCUGUUUACACCAUGGGUUCCAGCUGCCAGGGGCAUCUACUGUUCAUUAUGGACACACUUCUAGGCAACGCUUCCUGUGUGACACAGGAAAUUAAGUGAGUUCCUUUUCCCAAUCUUGUUUAACCUUAAAGAAAGGGCACUUAUCCCAUUGUAAUAAUAAAUUAUAAAUUCUUCCAAUGGAAUCCUUCAUCACAAUAAUACUACUCACAAUAAUACUACUCACAAUAAUAUUUAACAGGUUGGCCUCUAAUAUGCAAGGAAAAUUACUUAAAUAUUUUUGUAAGAAUUGUCUAACUUGAAGGUAUUGCCAGUAUGAAUAUGAAAGUGUAUUUAUCAACUAAUUGUUCAAAAGACAUCAGUCUAUCUUCUUUAACUAGAUCCAGAAAAGAAUUAAUACCUUCAUUUUUCCAAAAUAGAAAAAUUGGAUCACUGAAAGAAGGCUUAAUAAAUAGUUUCGAUAAAUUAAACUACAAAGUUUAAAUUUUUUUAGAUUAAAAAUAUUACAGAACUGGAGCCAAAUUUGUAAAGAAUACUUAAUCACAGGGUAUAAAUUUAAAUCAGCAACUUUAGCUAAUUGUAUAGGUAGAGCAGCUCCCAAUAACGAGGUUAAGUAAAACUGUUUCACAGCUUUCAAUUUCAAAUCUACUCAAGUUGGCCACUCAUUCUUAUCAACCCAGCGUAACCAAAAGGACAUAUAUCGCACAUUAACAGCCCAGUAAUACAUUCUAAAGGUAGGUAAAGCAAGACCUCUGUGUUGUCUUUAUGGCAUUUGUUUAGUUUAUAAUAUUUUUGCUUUAGUAAUUCGUUAGCAUUUUCUAGUUAAAGUGAAGAUUGUUUAAAGUAAAUUCAUUGUCUGUGAUAUAUCGUGGCAUAUAUAUAUGACGUCACACCUGGUUUCGCCGCGUCUUGUGGGAAAAUAUCGGUUUGAAGAAACGGGAAGGAGGGGGCUCACAUGUGCAGGAUCAGCGCAAGAAAAGUUUUCUUUCUACACACUAGAAACAUCAGUGAAGCAACGCCUUUCCACCAUAUGUUAAUGUGGAAGAGCGAACAGUAAACGGUUAAUCUUACUGCGAUCCUGUUUUCAUUGACUACGGUUUACCUCGGUGUUUAGUUCAGAAUUCUCUUACACCUGAAUGAGAACACUACAACCUCUGUCCAUUUUCAAUUAUUCUAGGAGGUCCAUUCUGUUGAAGUGGAAGGACAUAUCGGCUCCCACUCUGUCACGAUGGUUCUCUCAAAUGAUGUCAUGUCUUAGUUUGGAGAAAAUUAGAAGCCAAACCUUCGAACCUAUGUUUGAUUUUGAGAAAAGAUGGGGUUCAUUUGCUCGUUACUACCAUUUGAGUUAAUUGAUAGAUAUCCUCCACGAUCUAAUUGUAAAUUCUGGUAUAAUUUUUUUUGCUGGUGGUUUGAUGUUUAUCUUUAGAAGCUUUUUGUAUGCCGCAUGGCUCCGGGGUUGAACACCUAAUGGGUUUUUUGUAUGACGCAUGGCUCCGGGGUUGAACACCUAAUGGGUUUUUUGUAUGCCGCAUGGCUCCGGGGUUGAACACCUAAUGGGUUUUUUGUA